ACUUCAUACAGAGACAGAGAGGAUGGAAGAGAGAGGGAACAUUUAGAGGUUUAGACCUCACUUCAUACAGAGACAGAGAGGAUGGAAGAGAGAGGGAACAUUUAGAGGUUUAGACCUCACUUCAUACAGAGACAGAGAGGAUGGAAGAGAGAGAGAAUAUCUGAGAGGUUUAGACCUCACUUCAUACAGAGACAGAGAGGAUGGAAGAGAGAGAGAACAUCUGAGAGGUUUAGACCUCACUUCAUACAGAGACAGAGAGGAUGGAAGAGAGAGAGAACAUCUGAGAGGUUUAGAACUCACUUCAUACAGAGACAGAGAGGAUUGAAGAGAGAGAGAACAUCUGAGAGGUUUCGACCUCACUUCAUACAGAGACAGAGAGGAUGGAAGAGAGAGAGAACAUCUGAGAGGGUUAGACCUCACUUCAUACAGCGACAGAGAGGAUGGAAGAGAGAGGGAACAUUUAGAGGUUUAGAACUCAAGCAGCUGGUGCACCCUGGUUGGCGUGGGUUUCGAUGAGCCAGUCAGCAAAGACACGUUUAACCUUCCAUUAGAAACGAUUUUGAUUCCUGACAAAUUUGAGAAGACGUGCCAGAAAUGUAUCUACCUGUUAGGAACAAAAUUAAAAAAUU
rnacentral:lncRNA from 1 species